CCAAAACAAUCUUGAAGGAGAAAAAAGUGGGAGGGCUUACACCUUCUGAUUUCAAAACUCACUCCACAGCUACAGCAAUCAAGACAGUCAUAGGGUCAGUACAGAGUCACAGAGUAGGUGCUGUGUCAUAUAAUAAGUUCCCCUACACUACACACAUAACAGUUUGGUGGACUUUUUAAAAUUGAAUUUCCCAAUAAGAGGUAAAUGUUAAUGAAAGGGAAGACACUAAAUCUUUAAUUUAGAUUUAUCAUUUAUAACUUUGUUUAUUGAGUUUGCUCAUACAUGAGCAUACCUGCUCUGACACUUGAACUGCUCAUUUUUGUGAAAAAGAAAAGGAAAUUAUGUUUGUGCAAUUUGCAGAGCUCAGUAUUAAGCUGCAAGUAUGACAUUGUAGCUUCUCUCUGUUGCUAUGGGCAAGUUACUUGAAUGACUUCAACAGAUUCUUAAACUGAACAGAAAUUGCUUCCCACUCAGUUAUAAUUUUACCAUGCAGAGGCUAGAAAUUGGGAAUAAAUAAUGAAGGAGGUCAUCCAGGUUCACAUUUAAUGCUCUGUGUGGGAUGUAGCUGUUGGAGAGGGGAAACAUAGUGGUAGAGAGAUCUUUCUUUACGAUCUGAAAGAAAUUCUGACAGCUCUGACUUUACUUUCAUGAAAGUAAAUGGGAAAGGAAAACCUGUAUGAAGGAACAAAUAUGGUUGCUAAAAUUGUGCUUUUAAGGUUGUACCUUACAGCAAGAAGUAAACAAUCUCCAAUUUUAAAAAAAGCAUAGAAUGUGGACUAUAGGUUGAUUAGGAAUGUGGCAUUAUUUGCCAUAUAACAUUAUUGAGAUAAAGAUUGAAGAAAUGGAAGGCAUGAGAAAUGUUCUUCCUCAAAACACCGUUUAUGUAAUCCAUAGCUUGAUUUAUUGACAAGAGGUUUGGUGGAUUAAAGAUGGCCACCAUUUCUUUGUAAUGCUUUCCUUUGAGAAGUAGAGUUUAUUUUCCCUCAUCCUGAAUCUAGUCUCAUCCUGUGACUGCUUAAGUAAUAGAUAAUGGCAGAAGUGACACUGUGCCAGUUCUAGGCUUAGCCUUUCAGAGCACUGACUGGCAGCUUUUGCUUCUGUCCUCUGGGAACACUCACUCUUCAAACUCUGCCUUCUAGAGCCCAGCUGCCAUUGGUGAAAAGCCCAAGCCACCUGAGGGUCCACGUGAGGUGCUGCGGUCAACAUGCCCAGCUGAGCUCCCAGCCUUCAGCCAGCAUCAACCAACAGCCAUGUGAGUGCGUCAUCUUAGAUGUUCCAGCCCAAUAGAGCCACCCAGUAGCUGUGGCCCCAAUGGUGACAGCUCUGGCCUAGAACUACCCGGGCGAUCCCAAUUAACAUGCAGAACGGUGAGGAGUAAUCAAAUGGUUGUUUUAAGCUGUGAAAUUUUGGCUGGUUUGUUAUGUAGCCAAACAUCAAAACAAUCAUCUUGCAUAAUGAUGUGUGUUAAAAGUUAGGUGUCACAGAUGGCAGAAUGAACAGAAAAUUAGUAAAUUUGACCUGUAUCAAUGAUUAUGUCUACAAUCUCUCCUCAGAACUUCUCCAGGGGAGUUUUAGCAACCCAAAAGACUGCUUUCAGACCUGAUCCCUUUUCUAGAACUAAAUUUACAUCCCACUGGGUUCUAGGCAAAAAGUGUGUGAAAAAUCUGUAAGUACCUAUAAUUUAUUGAAAGUGCUAUCUUUUCUUUAAACUUCAAGCAUGGAGACAAAGCUUUUACUUAGAAUGUCCUUAGUAAGAGUGUUCAUUUGUUUGUUUUGAAUAAGAUGAAAACAUAAGAAUGUUCAAAAGUUUUUACAUUGAACUUUUAUGAUGUCACUGAUAUAUUUUUAAAAUUAGAUUAAAACAAAACAAAACAAAAGAAAACCACCCCAAAAGACAAUAAACCCAGCAGCCCUAAAAGAAAAAUUUAGGUUCGGUACACUAUGAACAGAAAUUCCUAUAUGUUGAAUUAAUUUUUGAAUUUGGUUUCUGAGUCUUUUGUAAGUAAUAGGUCAGAAUGAAUUAGUGGAAUAAAAUCGCAUUGGCGAUUUCCUUUUAGAUUAAUGGAUUUUACCUCAGAUCCCAGUGUUGAGUUAAAUGUAAACAUGUGUUUCUGUGGAUUGACAGCACACAUUUUUCAAUACAUACAGUCCACUGAGAAACACAGUGCUCUCAGAGUUCAACCUGUCCUCUGGGAAUGGUUUUGAGGAAACACCUAAUUUUGAGCAAGUUACCAACGCACUCUCCCCUCAAUAUCUGAAUCAGUAAAAAAAAAAAAAAAAAGAAUGAUAACCAUCCCUGCCCAAUUUAUCUGGAAGGACUGUUCUUCAAAAUCAAGUGAUCAUAUAUGAUGAACAUACUUAAGGAGAAGGCUUUUUUUUAAACUAAAAUCAUUUUGUUGUUGUUCUUGAUCAUUUUGCUUCCAGUAAUUUCAUAUUUUUUCUUUCAAUUCUGGAAACUAUUUUAAUACACUUUUCUGAGGUCCAAAGCUGUUCAUGUUUUAGAUUGUGGUGUUUUUGCCUGCUUUGCUUAUAUGGGUCUCUGAAGUUAACUGAUAUUUAACUGGAACAUAAACUGUGGCAGAAAUAUUGGGGAGAGAGAGAAAAACAAUCAUAUUUAGAGAAAAUAAAAACUAAGGUGACAAAUUCAAGCAUUCAGACUUCUAACAAAAUCUCCUUUCUUUCUAUCUCAUUUCAACCCACCGAGGACCUGUACACACCUUUACUCCGCUGUCUCCAUUUCCUUGUAUGUUUCUCCGGGAACUUUACACAUAGGGGAUUCCAUGGUAAACAUCUAAGACUGGAAUUUCUGGAUAUCCCGUCAGUUCCCUUUUGGCAGUAAUGUGCAACCCAGUGAACAGAAGAAGGGGAAGUUUCCAAUCUGGCCAGAAUGGAGCGAGGCAGACAUAAAUGCUGAGAAGUGGGA